UAGGGAAUCUUCGGCAAUGGACGGAAGUCUGACCGAGCAACGCCGCGUGAGUGAAGAAGGUUUUCGGAUCGUAAAGCUCUGUUGUAAGAGAAGAACGAGUGUGAGAGUGGAAAGUUCACACUGUGACGGUAACUUACCAGAAAGGGACGGCUAACUACGUGCCAGCAGCCGCGGUAAUACGUAGGUCCCGAGCGUUAUCCGGAUUUAUUGGGCGUAAAGCGAGCGCAGGCGGUUAGAUAAGUCUGAAGUUAAAGGCUGUGGCUUAACCAUAGUACGCUUUGGAAACUGUUUAACUUGAGUGCAGAAGGGGAGAGUGGAAUUCCAUGUGUAGCGGUGAAAUGCGUAGAUAUAUGGAGGAACACCGGUGGCGAAAGCGGCUCUCUGGUCUGUAACUGACGCUGAGGCUCGAAAAGCGUGGGGAGCAAACAGGAUUAGAUACCCUGGUAGUCCACGCCGUAAACGAUGAGUGCUAGGUGUUGGGGUCCUUUCCGGGACUCAGUGCCGCAGCUAACGCAUUAAGCACUCCGCCUGGGGAGUACGACCGCAAGGUUG
rnacentral:rRNA from 1 species